rnacentral:rRNA from 1 species
GAUGAACGCUGGCGGCGUGCCUAAUACAUGCAAGUCGAACGAACGGACGAGAAGUUUGCUUCUCUGUUGUUAGCGGCGGACGUGUGUGUAACACGUGGAUAACCCACCUAUAUGUCUGGGAAAACUUCGGGACACCGGAGCUAAUACCGGAUAAGCUUUUGAACCGCAUGGUUCAUUGGAGAGAGACGGCCUUGCUGUCUCUUCUCGAUGCAUCCGAGCUGCAUUAGCUAGUUGGUAAGGUCAAGGCUUACCAAGGCAACGAUGCAUAGCCGACCUGACAGGGUGAUCGGCCACACUGGAACUGAGACACGGUCCAGACUCCUACGAGAGGCAGCAGUAGGGAAUCGUCCGCAGUGGGCGAAAGCCUGACGGAGCAACGCCGCGUGAGUGAUGAAGAUCUUCGGAUCGUAAAACUCUGUUAUUAGGGAAGAACAUAUGUGUAAGGAACUGUGCACAUCUUGACGGUACCUAAUCAGAAAGCCACGGCUAACUACGUG